GGUAGUACAAAUCAUGAGCUUCUAAGAAUAGAGUUUACAAUGCCGAUAUGAAGAAAAUAUAUCUUCUGUUUGAAAAGUACAUAAAGAGAGUUUUAUAAAAGCUAAGGCUACCAUGAACAAGAGGCAGCUACAGCAGGAACGUAGGUACGCCUUCUAAUCCAGCAACCAUCGGACGCAGUAACAUCGGCAUCCGGGAUCUGCACGCAAUGUGCAGGAAGUACAGUAUGAGUACAACCGACCCCAUGUACUCAAAAAGUAACAAACCUAACCUCAGGUUGAAAGUAGUGACGAACUGGAACAUAGGUUAGGUCCAACGCAAAUAACCAACAACAGUUCAUACAAUGUAGAGCAUAUAAACGAGGAAAUAAUCUCAGAGAUAAAAAUGUUCAGCUUUUGCACAGUUUUCCGAAAAUAGUUCCGCUUUCCAGAAUAUAAGCGAAAAUCAAAAUCCUUUGUCGAAAUCAUCAAAUAUUUUGAGGUAAUUUGUAAACUGUAAUUUUUUCUGAAAAAUCCUUUCCAAUGUAAAUAAAAAUGUUUCAUUUCCUUUCCAAAUAACAAGUGUGAAAUACCGCUCCAUGCCCGCAUAUCCAUGUGUAUAAAAAGUCAUGAAUGAUGUGAUACCGUACAGUAUAAGGAGAAAUGUGUCUCUAUACAUGUAUGCCAUAUAUGCAUGCCAAUGCCAUGUAUCUCAUAGAUGAAUCAUGUACUCACACUCGUAGAGUACUCAACCUCAUUGUAUCAUACUUUUCGCUCGUUAUACUUAAUUACUCAGUACUGUAUAUGGCCCAAAAGGCCCAGAAAAAUCCAUUCCGGAACAUAUAAAACACUGACUAGAAGUCACACAAUACUGAGGAAAAAGGCAAUCCAACCAUGUGGAGAAAUCCAUCUCCAAGUAUCAAAUACUUCGGAUAAAUCCAUGUCCAGGGAAAUCCAUCCCUCUAUAAUAUGUAAAUACUCAACCACUCGGUACUGUAUAUGGCCCAUGAAGUCCAGGGAAAUUUAUCCCGGAACAUAUAUAACACUGACUAGAAGUCACCCAGUACCGAGGAAAAAGGAAAAUCCAAUACUGUGGAGAAAUCCAUUUCCAGAUAUAAAAUACUUCGGACAAAUCCAUGUCCAUGGAAAUCCAUCCCUUAAUAAUAUCAUUCGCGCCCACUAUGGGUGUACAGACUCCGGAGGGGCUCCUACGACCCAAGCGUUAUAACAAGCCAAUCAUGACAUAAUCAAUAUAAUAUGCUGCGGCGUGCAGCCCAAUCCCGUAACUGUCACUCAUAAUCAGGCUCUCGGCCUCACUUAGUCAUCACUCUCCAUUCUCACCCAUGGGCUCACAAUGUCAUGAAAACAAAUCCGAAAAAAUGAUAUGAAGUAUCAAUGAGUAACAACUGAGACUAAGAUAUGAUAUGAAUACAUGAAUGUGACUGAGUACGAAAUAUCAAUAAAAUCAAUGAGAUGAUAGCAAGAAACGACCGCUAGGGGUCCCAACAGUAUCAACAUAAAGCCUAAACAAGAUAUCUAGCAUGAUGUACACCUCAAUUAAUUUAUCACAUGGUGAAAAACACAAUUAUCAACAAAGUGGGCCACUAAACAUGCCUUGGAAACAACAGAGUCGCAACUCACAGGGUGCAUGCCAACACGCCCAUCACCUAGCAUGUGUGUCACCUCAACACCAAUCAAAUAACACAUAAUUCGAGGUUUCAUACCCUCAACACUAAAUUUAGAAGAGUUACUUAUCUUAAGAAACCCAAUUCCAUCACCAAGCAAGCCAAGCGAUGCUCCAAGAAUGCCAUCACGCAUGUAGCAACCUCCGGACGGCUCAAAACUAGCCAAAAGCAACUCAAAUACAUCAGAUAAAGCCCAAGGAAGUAAUUACAAUUGAUAAAGAUCGAAUUCUACAUCAAAUCCCAAAUCAGGCCAAAAAUCACAACCGGGCCCACGCCUCGAAACUCGACAAAACUCAAAAAAAUCCGGCAACCCAAUCAAUUACGAGUCCAACCAUACUAGUUUCACUCAAAUCCGACUCCAAAUCGGUGUUCAAAACUCAAAAAAUUAUAUUAUGAAACUUUAGGCCAAAACCCCCAAUUUCCUCUAUAAAAUUCAUCAACCAAAAGCUAAAAUCAAAGAUAGAUUCAGAGAAUAUAGCCAAAAUCGAUUAGAGAACACUUACCCCAAUUCAUAUGGUGAAAAUUGCUUCAAGAAUUGCCUCAAUCCGAGUUUCAUAGCUCAAAAAUGCAAAAAUGGCUGAAACCCUUGAAAUAUAGUACUUUAUAAUCUGCCCAGGCCUCCUUUUUUGUGAACGCGGGACAACUAUCGCGUUCACGAUGAAUAAAAAUACUAGCCACCAAAAAUGCUCUAUGCGUUCGCGUCACCAGCCUUGCGAAUAGGAUACACUAUGGACACAGAACUACGCGAACGCGACCCAAGCCUCACGAACGCAAUGAAGAAAGGUCCUCCAGCCCAGCUCCUAGCUCGACUCUAUGCGAACGCGAUAGCCCAUACGCGAACGCGAAGAAGUCUUCCCCCAACACUACACGAAUGCGGGUUCCCGCGAUCACGAAGAACAAUUUGUUGCUGCCAUAAGAAUACACUAUGCGUUCACGACACUUGCCUCACGAACACCAUGAGGAACUGAGACACCAGAUACCAACAUAAUACAAUAGUGAAACAUGAAGGAAAAAUAGCCUAGAAUCAAAACGAAACACGCCCGAGCCCCUCGAGACCCCAUCCAAACAUACGAACAAGUCCAAUAACAUAACAUGGACCUACUCAAGGCCUCAAAUAACAACAUUAAAGCGACGAAUCACAACACAAUUCCAACUCAUUUGAACUUUGAAACUUUAACUUUCCACAAACGAUGCCGAAACCUAUCAAAUCACGUCCGAUUGACCUCAAAUUUUUCACACAAGUCAUAUUUGACAGUAUUGGACCUGCUCCAACUUCGAAAUCGAAAUCCGACCCCGAUAUCAAAAAGUCCUCUCCCGGUCAAACUUUUCAAAAUUCCAAUUUUCGCCAUUUCAAGCAAACUUCUACUACGGACCUCCAAUCAUAAUUCGGACGCGCUCCGAAGUCCAAAAUCACCCAACAGAGCUAACAGAACCAUUGGAAAUCCAAUUCGAGGUCAAAUACUAAAAAGUCAAAACUUAGUCAAACCUUUCAAAUUUAUAACUUCUAGUUGAGAAUCAUUCUUCCAAAUCAAUUCCGAAUAACCUGAAAACCAAAACUGAUGAUUCACAUAAGUCAUAAUACAUCAUAUGGAGCUACUCAUGCUCUCAAACAACCGAGCAAAGUGAAAUUGCUCAAAACGACCAGAGGAUCGUGAUAUCCUCCCCCACUUAAACAUACGUUCGUCCUCUAACGUACCCAGUACUGUUCCAAAAGCCAUCAAAUCGCCGUGUAACCUUACCAUGCACAUACCCGAGGCUAAUCCCAUGUGACCCAAUCCCAUAAGGUUUGAUAACACAACAUGACUGAAAUUUCUUAACCCAACCUAGCCCAUAAUUCUUAGAACCCAAUUUCCAACAUUCAGAAUUUUCUAUAAAAUCAAGAUAUCGCAUCUACACAAUGUAUAAGUCUGAACAAGAUGUAUCAAGCCAUAGUUAUAACCCAAGAUGAAAUCACAUGAUAUACCACAUAACUCAAAUACUCAUAGCGAUAAUUUUCUAAUCGCACUAGCUGCUCAAAACAACCCAAUGCUGGUAAUAAAUCUCUUAUCAAACAAAGCCUCGUUCUAACACCUUCAUAUACUGCCAAUAAACAGGUAGAAACUCAUAACCAUUUGUCAGAUCAACAAAUCAUGGAACUACUUCUCCUUCGACAAGGACUAUAACAAAUUUCUAAGCUGACUUUUGAUAUUAUUCUUCCAACCAUGUUGUAAUCAAUUCUAAUAGUAUUCAUUCUAGGCCUAAUGGCCCCAUCUCAUCCAACACGACCAGUUUAGUGACCUGGCAUAAUCAAUACAAUCUAAAGCCACAACCUGUACAAUCCGUGCACCAAUAAGCAAUAUUCCAAAUAUACUCAAACAUGGAAAAUGACAUCCACCAAGAGAACUAACCCACAAGCUCAAAAUGUAUCACCACAAUGCAAUUCUAAAAACCCAUCACACACCGUAGAACCAAAACACUCGAAUCUAACACAAAGGAUCAUACCCCUAUAUGACUCCUCUACAAUGUGUGACCCCAUCCAAUUGCUGGUCCAUAUUAUAUACCUCUAGCCGCCUUGCUCAAAAAUGAUAACCAUACGAAAUUCGACAAUAUGUACCCAAAGUGUAUUACCAUAACCACGGAGAGAAAAUAACACAAUACCACAAUCCAAAGAGAACAUAGCCAAUGCGCAAUCAAUCUUACAAUACCCAAUUACUCAUCUCGCUCAAAUUCCGCUAUAAAGCUUAAAUAGAACUGCACUAUAUGUGCAUAUAACCAACGUAUCAUGACCCCUCGUAGCAUAAAACAUUAACUCAUAGAUCAUCUCAGAACACGAAUAAGCACAAUAACGACUAAAUGGAACAUCCCUCAAUAAUAGCAGUUCAGAGUUAACAAAUGGGCCCCAAAUCAGCUCUAGUCAUCCACAAAUAGAUAAAUAACCCUCCUAAAGUCCAUAAUGACUGAAUCAUAACACAUACUAUCAUCUAUCUAGCUUCGGCCACAACUUCACAGUCCAUAACCAUGAAAUAAUCUACUCGUGAGAACUCCCAGUCCCAAAUCCAUAAAGCACACGAAUCACCAUAUCCGAUCCUAACUCCACCGCCCGAAUAUCAAACACAUCUCUCAUACACGAUCAUCCCAUGAGGAAUACUCCAAAAAUUCUUCUGUGCCACAUAGCAAAAUUUGAAUAUCAACAGUCGAUCAACUAAAAGAGUGCCGAAAUACCAAUGAAGUAUCCAUAAAUCAAAACACAUUGCCCCUUCUGAAAUGUAUACUCUCAUCAAGACAUACAAAAUAGUAAUGUCAUUUACCCAAUCAUCUACAACCGUCCAUGUUGCCUAAGAAUUUAUGACCUUUCUUUCAAAGCUGAACCAUAACCUUGCACAUGCCAAUCUCGAUCUACACAACACACCGUAUACACCCUGCCUGUCACGACCCAAACCAAUGGGCCGGGAUGGGUACCCGGUACCUUACUCAUCCAAGUACCAACGCAACGUAUCUUUCUUAAUACAUGAUCAUAUACACAUGCAUACGGGCCUAAUAGGCCAACAUGAUCCUUUAUAAACUCAAAACAUAGACCGACAAGGUUGUACAAUCUUUUAUGUACACGACAUAUGUCUACAAGCCUCUAAGAAUACAUAUAUGUCAUAAGAGUCGGGACAGAGUCCCGCAAUACCAAACAAUACACAUCUAAAUCAUACUAACAAAACGAGCAACUCCGAAGCAAAUGGAGCGCACCAACAUCUUCCGCUGAGCUGAUAGCCUACUUAGAGGGCUCUCGGCCUAUCUAUCAGGACUUGCGGGCAUGAAACGCAGCGUCCCCAGGCAAAAGGGACGUUAGUACAAAUAAUGUACUGAGUAUGUAAGGCACAUAAAUAAAUACAUGAGAGAAAUGGAAGACAUAUAGAGUACAUGACUCAACCUGUAAGUCUGAAUAACUUUGUAAAUCCUAAAUUACUUUUAACGUCAUGCAUAUGCGUAUGAAUGUCAUGUCGUGCAUAGGUAUAUGUUUCAUAAUAUCAUCAGCCUCUGAGGGCAUCCCAUCAUAUCAUAUCGGCCACUGUGGGCAAAAUCAUCAUCAUAUACUAGUUGAUCAGGUGGUGGUGCGUAUAUACUGUCAUAACCUUUCCCAUAUCCCAUAUACAUAUAUACAUACAUAUAUACGCGUAUAUAAUGUCGNNNNNNNNNNNNNUAUAUAAUGNCNUUUGAAUUAUACUUAGAUAUAUAUGCGUAUAUAACGCCGUUUGAAUCAUAUUUCGGCCAUUGUGGGCAACAUCAUCAUCAUAUACAAGCUGAUUAGGUGGUGGUGCGUAUAUAAUGCCAUAACCUUUUCCCAUUCCAUAUAUAUAUAUUUACAUAUAUACGCAUAUAUAACGCUAUCUGGUCAUGGGUCAAUGCACAUGAAUGCAAUGCAUGAAAAGUACGUCAAUAAAAUCAUUCGGAAGGUCAUAAGACCACUUUGCCUCUUGAGCAAUAUCAUAAAGUAAUAUCUUUUCAACUUUCGUAUUUUUCUGAUACCCAUGAACAGAUGAUAAAAUAUUAUGACACAUGGGAAUUAAAGAACAUAGAUAUUUAUAUUACUUCUAUGAGUAGAGUCACUUAUGAAAUUUGUGCAUUUGCAAGUUUCGUUCAUAUCGUAUGGAUCAUGCCAAAAGAAAGAAGGGAUAGCCUUAACAUACCUGGAGUAAGGAAAACUCAGUAUAAUACUUUACUAAAAAACCUUCUUUGAUUGAGCUAAAUUUGCCCCUGCUUCUUUAGAAAUUCACGGAUGAAAUUUUAUCUGGUUCCUUGAAUUUCUUUGGAACGAUUCACGUUUUUUGGCUUUGAUGGAAUAAGGUUCUACAUUAGGUUCCUUGAAUUUCUUUGGAAUGAUUCACGUUUUUUUGGCUUUGAUGGAAUAAGGUUUUGCUCCUAAU
rnacentral:lncRNA from 1 species